rnacentral:lncRNA from 1 species
AGCAUGACAUGAAAUUGCAUUUUUACUUGCAAUAAAAGUAUUUAAUUGGUUUUAAUUAUAAUUCCAAUUAUUAAAGAAAUAUGAGUAAGAAUAUUGUUGGUGUUCUUAACUCAAGAGAAAUGUUUUCAAUUAUUUAUUCAUUAAAUUUUGAAAACCCGGCUAAGUGAAUCAUAGAAUAUUAAGCAACUCACCGUGACUUAAGAUUAGAUUCAAGGAGACCUAUUGAGAAUAGAUUUCUUGUAGGCUUUGAGCAUCAAAAGGAUUAGCACUGCUAUUCCGAUUCAGAGAUAAGGUUAAACGACAGGCUUUGCCUAUUCAGGUGGGCAUUACUUUCAUAUAUAUCAAAUGAGUUUAAAUGUUACGUUCAAGCAAGUUAUUUCAUGACAAAAUCUUUGAGUUAAAGUUAUUUCAAGUAUUGUCUUGCCAUAAAAUGUUUAAAUUUUAGUAUGAUAUCUAUCUGCUUUGGCUUUGCCAAUGAUGCAAUCGAAUUCGGGUCCUGAGCAGUUGAUAGCUAUCCUGCCAGGGCUAGUGUACACCAGUG